UACGUAGGGGGCAAGCGUUAUCCGGAUUUACUGGGUGUAAAGGGAGCGUAGACGGACUGGCAAGUCUGAUGUGAAAGGCGGGGGCUCAACCCCUGGAGUGCAUUGGAAACUGUUAGUCUUGAGUGCCGGAGAGGUAAGCGGAAUUCCUAGUGUAGCGGUGAAAUGCGUAGAUAUUAGGAGGAACACCAGUGGCGAAGGCGGCUUACUGGACGGUAACUGACGUUGAGGCUCGAAAGCGUGGGGAGCAAACAGG
rnacentral:rRNA from 1 species